UGAUGACGAGACGCUAAGGCGUUGAAGCAGUGUAUGUCAGACUUCCAAGAAAAGCUCGCAAUGUCACAAAUAAAAAUGCCUGUACCAUAACCGACACAGGUGGGUAGGUAGAGUAUACUAAGGGGCGCGAGAUAACUCUCUCUAAGGAACUCGGCAAAAUGACUCCGUAACUUCGGGAGAAGGAGUGCCUUAUUUAUAAGGUUGCAAUAACAAGAUCCAAGCAACUGUUUAUCAAAAACACAGGUCUCCGCUAAGUCGUAAGACGAUGUAUGGGGGCUGACGCCUGCCCAGUGCCAGAAGGUUAAAGAAGUUGGUUAGUGUAUGCGAAGCUGAUGACUGAAGCCCUGGUGAACGGCGGCCGUAACGAUAACGGUCCUAAGGUAGCGAAAUUCCUUGUCGGGUAAGUUCCGACCCGCACGAAAGGCGUAAUGAUUUGGAUACUGUCUCGGAGAGAGGCUCGGUGAAAUAGACUUGUCUGUGAAGAUGCGGACUACCUGCACCAGGACAGAAAGACCCUAUGAAGCUUUACUGUAACUUGAAAUUGGAAUUGGACUUUGCUUGCGCAGUAUAGGUGGGAAGCGUUGAAAAUAUUCUUGCGGGAGUAUUGGAGCUAUCAGUGAGAUACCACUCUCGUAAUGUUAGAUUUCUAACUUUGAACCAUAAUCUGGUCAAAGAACAGUUUCAGGUGGGCAGUUUGACUGGGGCGGUCGCCUCCCAAAUGGUAACGGAGGCGUACAAAGGUUUCCUCUGAACGGAUAGAAAUCGUAUCUAGAGUGUAAAGGCAUAAGGAAGCUUGACUGUGAGACCUACAAGUCGAGCAGGGACGAAAGUCGGUCUUAGUGAUCUGACGGUACUGAGUGGAAAGGCCGUCACUCAACGGAUAAAAGUUACUCUAGGGAUAACAGGCUGAUCUCCCCCAAGAGUUCACAUCGACGGGGAGGUUUGGCACCUCGAUGUCGGCUCAUCGCAUCCUGGGGCGGUAGUACGUCCCAAGGGUUGGGCUGUUCGCCCAUGAAAGCGGUACGCGAGCUGGGUUCAGAACGUCGUGAGACAGUUCGGUCCAUAUCCGGUGUAGGCGCUAGAAUAUUGAGAGGAGCCUUCUUUAGUACGAGAGGACCGAGAAGGACACACCGCUGGUGUACCAGUUAUCGUGCCAACGGUAAACGCUGGGUAGCUAUGUGUGGAGUGGAUAACCGCUGAAAGCGUCUAAGUGGGAAGCCCACCUCGAGAUGAGUAUUCUCA
rnacentral:rRNA from 1 species